rnacentral:lncRNA from 1 species
GGACCAGUUGGCUGACAUUCUCACUAAAGCCUUGGGUCGUAAGGAAUUUGACGAUUUUCUUCUCAAGUUGGGCAUCCAUAACUUGUACGCUCCAACUUGAGGGGAGGUAUUAGGAUAUACUUAACAUAAGUAUAUCAUUAUCGUUAAAUAUGUUGUAUAUAUCUCUUAUAUAUAUUUGUCUAUAUCUUGUAAUCACUAUAAAUACUUUGGCCAUGAGGUCUACAUGAAUAAGAUCGAUAAACAUUAAACCCUUGUGACUAGUUUGUUAGGUUGGAAUUUGAAUCCUGAUACGG